rnacentral:rRNA from 1 species
AACGAACGCUGGCGGCAUGCCUAACACAUGCAAGUCGAACGAGACCUUCGGGUCUAGUGGCGCACGGGUGCGUAACGCGUGGGAAUCUGCCCUUGGGUUCGGAAUAACAGUUGGAAACGACUGCUAAUACCGGAUGAUGACGUAAGUCCAAAGAUUUAUCGCCCAGGGAUGAGCCCGCGUAGGAUUAGCGAGUUGGUGGGGUAAAGGCCUACCAAGGCGACGAUCCUUAGCUGGUCUGAGAGGAUGAUCAGCCACACUGGGACUGAGCCACGGCCCAGACUCCUACGGGAGGCAGCAGUGGGUAAUAUUGGACAAUGGGCGAAAGCCUGAUCCAGCAAUGCCGCGUGAGUGAUGAAGGCCUUAGGGUUGUAAAGCUCUUUUACCCGGGAUGAUAAUGACAGUACCGGGAGAAUAAGCCCCGGCUAACUCCGUG